rnacentral:rRNA from 1 species
GAUGAACGCUAGCGGCAUGCCUAACACAUGCAAGUCGAGGGAGAAGCCCUUUCGUGGGUAGACAGCGGCGCACGGGUGCGUAACGGUUAUGCAACCUACCUUUCACAGGUGGAUAGCCCGAAGAAAUUUGGAUUAAUACUACAAAAUAUUAUUGGAUGGCAUCAUUUGAUAAUUAAAACAGCGGUGGUGUAGGAUGGGCAUGCGUACUAUUAGCUAGGUGGAGUGGUAACGGCACCCAAAGGCUACGAUAGGUAGGGGUACUGAGAGGGAGAUCCCCCACACUGGUACUGAGCCAAGGACCAGACUCCUACGGGAGGCAGCAGUGAGGAAUAUUUGUCAAUGGUCGGAAGACUGAACCAGCCAUGCCGCGUGCAGGAAGAAUGCCUUAUGGGUUGUAAACUGCUUUUAUAUGGGAAGAAUAAGGUGUACGGGUACGUUGAUGACGGUACCAUAUGAAUAAGCAUCGGCUAACUCCGUG